ensembl:antisense
GGACUUCCCCAUGGUACAGAAGACUGCCCCACACCCUCUCAUAAACUUUAUUACUCCCCAUCCGUUGGUCCCUCUCGCCCCUCUUCUCUCUGAUCCCUAUAUCUCCAGGGAAAUGCACCUAGCUUUCAGGUUGACUCCGCUUGAUGGAUAACUCAGAGCUCGAGGAAGGCGACCCUGACUCGACCCGGCAGAAAACAGGAGACAGAAAACUCCCUCCUUAGAAUCUGGAAUGACCUCCUUGAGUCUGCGGUUCUUCCAGCCUUUCUGGCUUUGGCGGGACACCAGAUUCUGGUUUAUCCUUCCCCGGCCCUCGUCCUUGGCCAGCCACUGCGAGCACUGCUUUGCCAGACCACCAGUGUGUCAGUUCCGGAAGAUUGGUAUUUGUAUGGUUAUUAUUUUUGAAAAAAGAAAACGAAUUAAAUUAAGGGGAGUCAAGGAGAGGGAUAUUUGUAGCUGAGGCCAUUGCUUCCGUGUGGAUCCCUGGUUGUGCCCUUCAGAGCCUCGGGCCGAGAGGGAGUGUGGGGGCUAUGGGGCCCCCGGGAAUUAGCGCGUGGAGUCGGGGCAAGAGUUGGGGUGGAUUAGCGGGUUCAAAAGCAGGUCAGGGGGAGCUAAGCGUGGCGACCAAGUCCGUGCUAGGUCAAGGUCCCUGGCAAAGGCUGGCUUGGGCGAUCUGCAGGAAGCCGCACCGGUCCGCAGCUGCCCAGCCAGGUACCAGAGACUUGCAAAGGGAACCCAUGCUCGUCUGUAAUAAUUUACAGGACCCCGUUUGGGCUCCCUGGUUGAGCGUGUGCUCACCUGAAAGACAGGAUUUCUCUUUUACAUUUUAACCUUUUCUUUCUUUUCUUCUUUCUGUUUGAGACAGGACCUCAUUCCGUAGCCCGGGUUGGCCUCCAGCUCAGGGCCAUCCUCCUGUGGAACCCCUGAGGUCACAGCGUGUCUCACCAAGCCCCACCUCUUUGUUUUUAUACUCCUUCUUUUCUGACCAGAUAAAUACAUCGACCCACGCAGGUAGAAUUUUCUUCUCAAGAGUCUUUUUCUUCUCCUGACUCCAUCUGGGUCAAAUCUGGUGGGACUUCCGAGACACAAUAAAAGAAUCGCACCCUUCUCUCCCAGCGCGGAGUACCUGCGGUAGGGAGGGAGAGCUGGGAGCAGCUGAGCCGCUCUUCCCUUUCCGAAAGGGAGAGAAGUGACUCUGAGCCCCGAACGUUUGUAGGGCCCUGGAUAGUCCUCCUUUUUCUCCAAAAGACUCGUGAGUUUUCACAGGGAACAAACUUGGAGACUCGGUGGAAUUCGAAAUCCUGGUCUUGUUGGUGGCCUAAGAACAAUUCACAAAGCAGCCGGGUGGGGAUGAAUCCUCGAGCUCUACCGAGGGUGGUAGCCCCUCCUGGUUCGCUUGGGACCUGGCAUCGGGCUUCUAUUCUUUCUUCUUUCCCUCCCGCGCUGUGCAGGCCCAGGGAGUGGGGUGCGCGGAUGGAUUUUUUUUUUUUUUUUUUUUUUUUUAAAUCCGGUGACUCUGGUCAGGCUGGCUUCACGGAGUAAGCCCGACCGAUCCCUGCAGGGGAGAAGUUUCCCAUUUCCAGCUCUGGAGAAAGCGCGGAAACCGAGGUGGCAGGGAGCUGUGGAAAGCGGAGGUUGCUUGGGAGAGGCCUGGGCUGUGGAGUCCCCGGGCGGCUCCCGCGACUUGUCUGUAAUGCUUCCGCGCUGUAGGCCCUGGAUGCUGGCGUGGCCGUGCAGGUUGUAGAGCUGCAGACCGGGAUGGACCGGCUGGUGCGAGGCUCGGGUACGAGUGGAGUAGGUACGGUACGUGUGGCUUGUCUUCGAGACACAAUGCAAAUACGCUUCUGGGUUCCCAGUCCCAUGGAGCCUGACAUCUUUCCACUGGAAAAACGCCCAGAGUUGAAGACACUGUCUCUCCGUUCUUAAGGCCGGUGUUCUCGCACCGCGGCUUGCAACCGGCCUACACAGUUCCCGCUGCAGCGGCAGAAAUAAAGGGGACUGACGUCAAGAAAGCAUCCCAACGCUUUCCCGCUCUUCAGGAGCUGCCUCCACCCCGUCCUCGCCGCCGCAUCCUUGUUUUUGAAUAAAUUUACUGAGAAAGUAGUUUUGUAUGUGGCCUUUUCUUUUCUCUUUUUCUUUCUUUCUUUCUCUCUCUCUCUCUCUCUCUCUCUCUCUCUCUCUCUCUCUCUCUNUNUGUGUGUGUGUGUGUGUGUGUGGUGGGCGACAGAAGAGGGCAUCGGAUCCCCUAUAGCUGGAGCCAGAGUAGAUCUCUUAACCUCUGAGCCAUCCCUCUAACGCCCUUAACUAUUAUUUUUAAAGUUACAUCUGUUUAUUAUGUGUGUACAUUUAUGCAUAAGCCUGGAAUCAGAGGACAACUUUUGGGAAUGGGCUCUGUCCAACCAUGUAGGUUCUGGGGAUGGAUGAAAUCAUUAACGCCUUUAUCCGCCGAGUCAUUUCUCAGUCCCGUCUUUAUUUUUUCGAUUGUCCUUACAGUUGAAAUAGCUCACAACUAAAGCCAUCCUGUCUGUAGUCUUCUCCACCCGGAGCAGAGCCUUUGGAUAUUUAUUUUACAGGCUCAACAGCACAGAGACAUCUCCACGGUGGAGAAACCAUCACCGACCUGCUUUCUAAAGGAGAGGCAUUUACUUCGGAAUUCGUUCGGCAAGAGUGGGGAUCUUAGAUACCAACACUGUCCUCAUUCUAAGACAUCCUCUGAACUCGAACCUAUGCCUGGGUAUCCCUGAACAGAGCACAGGUGGAGAGCCUUCUGGGGAGAAGGAAGAGAAGUCAACCAAAGCUUGAGGUGAGCUCCCUCCCCCAUCUCCAAGGAACGCUGUUGCUGGGAUAAAGCCUAGGGAUCUCUUGGCUCUGGGGCUUGCAAAGGGACACUUUCUAGUAGUGGACUCGUUUCAGAGAGCAGGUGGGAAAGCCAGCGGAAGGCCAUGCCCUGGCUAUCCUGGUUAAGGGACUAGGAAAUAGAUCUCAUCCUGUAGGACUUGGGAAGGUUAGAGUAUCAUUAGAUUAAGUAAUUGCUGUGGUUUGGGUCUUGGAUCCUUGAUCUAGCCUCUACCAUCCAAUGCUGGGGGGGUGACAGGUGUGCACCCCUCUACAGGGCACAGUGUAAACAAUUUAAUAAAUUCGAAUUUUGUCUUAACAAGAAUAUGUGUUUUAAGACUAAUUUUUUUAAAAAAAAUUAACUAAAAUUAAAUCUAAAUAUUAAAAAUUUGGCUUAAAAAAUCAGCACUCAGCAGAACUUUUAGUAUUACUAAACAGAAGUGUGUAGGAGUCUCUCUCAUACACACAUCUCAGGAGGUGGAGCAAUAUGACUCCAGUAACAAUUAGCUAUUAUUUUACAACAAGACUUCCUGCUGCCCCAGAGAGCUGGGGCGUCUUAGCUCUCCGGAGCUAGGUGGAACUAUCUGUCCUCUGGCUUUUGGCAGCAGGAGGAUGAGUUGGUCAAGGGCACCAUUGGCCCUGGUUUGAAUCAGAGGCCACUCUGGGUUCUA